CAAGUAAACCGGGUGACCGCUGUGGUAGUUUUCUAUCACAGAGGAAAGUCCGAGCUCUACCGGGCAGGAUGCUGGGUAAUGCCCAGGAGGGGUGACCCUACGGAAAGUGCCACAGAAACAUACCGCCUCGCUUAAGCGGGGCAAGGGUGAAAUGGUGAGGUAAGAGCUCACCGGCGGCUGGGUGACCAGUCGGCUGGGUAAACCCCAUCCGGAGCAAGACCAAAUAGAGGGACAUAAGGACGCCCGGCCUGUCCCCGGGUUGGUCGCUUGACCCUGAUGGUAACAUCAGGGCUAGAUAGAUGGUCACCGCUCUGACCUUAAUAUGGGUCGGAGUACAGAACUCGGCUUACAGGUUUACUUGGCCC
rnacentral:RNase_P_RNA from 1 species